AGGAACUCUUGAGUGAGGCCGUCCGAGAAGAUAGUGAACCGGUGCUCAUCAAGGUCGAUAAUAAAUCUGCUAUUGCACUUACGAAGAAUCCGGUGUUCCAUGGAAGGAGUAAGCACAUUCAUAGGAGGUUUCACUUUCUAAGAGAGUGUGUUGAAAACGAGCUUGUUGAGGUCGAACAUGUCCCGGGCACUGAACAGAAGAAGGCUGACAUUCUUACUAAAUCACUUGGAAGAAUAAAGUUUAAAGAAAUGAGAAAGCUUAUUGGAAUGAAAGAUGUGAGUGAAGAUGACUUCAAGCUUAAGAGGGAGAAUGUUGGAUAAGCUUGGUUUUAUAAGUUUCCUUUUCUUAUUAGAGUUAUCUUUAUCUAUAAGAUUAGGAGAUAUGAUUGUGAUAAUACUAUUAGAAUUAGGAUAUAUCUAGUUCUAUAUAUAUGGAGAUGCAUUGAGUUGUUGCAUAACAUAUGAUUUAUGAUUUGAGCUUGUGAUUGAUUGAAUAAGAGAAGUACUUCUUAUUAAGGUUGUGAUUCUAUAAAAAUCACAUGUUUAAGUUCAAAAAAGCAAAAUUACAUGUUUUGUUCAGGAUUACAUGUAAAAUUCUACUAAACAUUAAUUUUAAAAUAUCAUAGAAACUUAUUUGUUUUAUUCUUUUAGGCUGUUAGCUAGGACAUGUGGUAUAUUCUACCAGCCCGAUAAAAUAGUUUGUUUAUCUUUUACAGCUAUUGGUUUCCAUUUUAAACUAGAACUAGAUGUUAACCCGCCCGACUGGGCGGAUCUAUAUUUUUAUGAUAUAUAUAAACAUUUCAAGACCUUAAUUCAGUUGAACGAAUUUAUAUUAUUAAAGUUUACUGUUGAAACUUUGUAUUUCGUCACUGGUUAUGUAAUCUUGAAAUGUUAAGAGCAAACAAUAUUUUAUUUAGAUUUUAACAAAUUUAAAGCUUUAUGAAAAAUAAAUAUUCUAUUUUAUCUAUAUACCAUUUAGGAAGAAAGUUUUCAGUCUUCCAUUCCCAAUAUCUUCAUAAUUCGCCAGUCUAAGGAAAGGAUUGUCAUCAUGGUAACUGGAUUUCGCAUAAAUUGAGUCACCAGUGACGUGUCAUUUUGUAAGGAGAGGUAGUUGUUCGAUAUUUGCCUCCAGCACUCGUAACUGUAUAGUUCUCAAUAAACCUCCAUUCACCAAUAGGAAAGUUGCGCUGCAGACGAUACAUCUGAUUUCUUUUUGCAGAAACAUGAAGUUUCUCACCCUAAACCCAAUAUAAAGUCUGAUAUAAAUAUUUUUUGCUAGUAUAAACAACAAAUCGAUAGAGUAUUACGUAUAAGAGACGAUAUAUAUAUAUAAAAAAAUCAAACUUACAUGUUCAUCCACGUUGUUGUUUAUCUUCCAUGAGUGAAGACACUUCACAUGUACUCGCCAAGUGACUUUGAAGGGUUUGACUUGGUUAAGAAAAAACAAACUUUGCUUGUUCGACAAAACCAAACUUCUUUGCUUGUUAGACAUUUUAUUUUUUUUUCUUUGCUACGGUGAGUAUGAAGAAUAUGAGGGGAAGGUUGAUAUAUAUAGUGGGUUAAACGUAAUCUAAAGGGAAUAUUUUUUUAAUUUAAUAGCACAAUUUUUGUGGAGUCAAUCAAGCUUAGAUCUAUAUUAGUUGCCUAAGUAGGUAAAUUAGUUAGCACAAAAGGAGAAUAUUCGGUUGUUAUACUUAAAAUGGUUUUGAUCAUUUAUUAUUUGAAAAUUGGAUAAGGAAGGUGUGAAAUGAGGGAAUCAAGUAAUUAGGAUUCUUGGAAGAUAUGUUAGUUUGUAAGCUCGAUAUAUAUAUGUGGAGUUAAUGUGUUCGAAUUAUGUUUUGUUAAGUUUAUAUUUUGUGUAUAUUUUUUUGAAAUAUAUGCCGCAUUUUUAACUUGGAAGUUACGUUUUGUUAACUUGGAAGUUUGUCUUUAUUUUUUAAAAAACAUGUCGAAUUUUUAAGUUAAAAAUUUAAAGUAUUAACUCUAUCUAUGCAUCCAAACAAAACAAUUUUUAUUAAUCCUACUAUUCAUAUACCUAAACAACUCUCAAAUGAAUUUUAGCUUUAAUAAGAUAGAUAGAUACACCAAGGUCGAACCAUAAUUUUAAAAUAUUUACCAUAAUUUUAAAAUAUUUUCUUUUGAAAAAGGGCUAUACUUUUUAUUUAUAUAGGUAUCUACAGAAUUAAAGUAGAAUAUUUUAGUAAAAAUAUGAGUCAUUUUCAUGUAAAAUAGACAAUAAGUGAAUAAUUUGCAGGUAUGAAAAAACAUACAAAAGCCCAACCCAAUAACAAAGAAAAUGACGAUAGUAUCCUUACCUUGUGGUUUGCGAAGAAUAAGAGAGCAAUGAUGAUUUGCGAUGUCAUCAUUAUAAUCAUGAUUUGCUUCCUUCCUCCAAUUCAUUUUUUUAUAUGAGUUCUCUAUGAUUCAUCGAUUAUCUCUUUGAAACCCUUUUCAGAAAAUACGGUAAGAGACGUUAAGUGAUCUUAUGGAGAGAUUGAAAUAGGCUUCGGCUAUCCAAUCUUCACAUAGUUUCUCCUUCUCUCAAUGGAAGCAUGGCAUGUCUCAGCUGGAGCCCCAGUCCUCCUGAAUGGUUUAUUCUCUCUGCUAUGGAAGUUCAAGUUGCAGGAGGUGCUGCAGGUCAAGAUGGAUACGCUGUGUGCUCUGGGGAGAAUAGUUUUUUCUUUGCGCUACCUAUGAUGGAUUCAAUAGAACAGAUGAUGCUUAUUGCUUGGCUUGUACUUUGUAUGAGUCCAUUGUGUUCCAUCUCCAGCUACUUGAUUAUCAAAUGAAGACACAUCAAGAUGUCGAUGACAGCAAGAAAAUGGAUUUUAUUUUCACGCAAGGAUAAUAUGAUAAUUAGCUGGUUAACAUGAGAUAUUAAUGACUAGUUAAUUUGUAAGUUAAUAUCGUUAUAAUGUAACUUUUUAGAUCCUCUGUAAAUGAUCAUGGUUCUAUUCCAAUAUAUCUAGAUACUUUACAUGUUAGCUGGUAUUUCGAUUUAAAAUUCUGACUAUAUUCCGAUUUAUGUGGAUACUU